rnacentral:rRNA from 1 species
UACGUAGGGUGCAAGCGUUGUCCGGAAUUAUUGGGCGUAAAGAGCUCGUAGGCGGUUUGUUGCGUCGGCUGUGAAAUCCCGAGGCUCAACCUCGGGUCUGCAGUCGAUACGAGCAAACUAGAGUGUUGCAGGGGAGACUGGAAUUCCUGGUGUAGCGGUGAAAUGCGCAGAUAUCAGGAAGAACACCCGUGGCGAAGGCGGUUCUCUGGGACGGUACUGACGCUGGAGACGCGAAAGCGUGGGGAGCGAACAGG